rnacentral:tRNA from 1 species
GGGAAUGUGGCUCAGUGGUAGAGUGCUUGCCUAGCAUGCAGAAAGCCCUGGGUUCGAUUCCUCAGUACCA